GUUGGAAAACAGCCAUAAUUCUGCCGAUUAUGCGCCGAAUACGCAACUCGCCUCUCGUUCUGCGCGUGUUCGGUUCGCAUGCUAAUAGCAUCAAUACGAGAGAUGGAGUGUCGCGCAUCCGUGGUUGUCAAAAGCACCAAAACAGGGCAAUCUACGACCUACGUUGAUUCGAUGGCUUCUACCGGCAAAGAGGUGCAUGCAUCGCAAAAUUUUCCGGCGGGCGCGAUGAAUUCUCUGUGUUGCCUCAUCUUCUUCCUCUACAGUGGCAACGGAACCAGCCUGGUAAGGCAGCGAAGAACAGACCUCUCUGAACAGGAUCUGUGCACCUCUUCAUUGAUCCUGGCCCUUUCGCCUAAGCCCGGCCAUCCUGCCGUCAAACCGAGCCGUAGGGGACAGUGGGAUGAAGCGGUCAGCAGCUGUAGCUGACUUCGAUGAACUGACUGGGAAUGCUUGGGACGGAACAGUGAAUUGUAGAUGAACCAGCGGUUUCCAUGGCUGGCAGUAUGGAACCCCGAGAUUGAUUCGCGGCUUAUUCGGCUCAAACUUGUAGACGCUCUCUUGGAAUGCAUUCAACCCUGCAUUUCGUCUAGCCUGGUUGUCUUCUCGAAGAACAAGACUGUCCUGCGAUUUUCUGCGCGUGCUUCCUACGAAUACAUCCGUUGCAUUUGGUUUCUUCAGAGGCAUCCCCAGAGCGGCGUUUACAGCAUUCCUCUCAGCCUCGGCUUCAUCAACUUCUUGGCGUUUUUUUUCAAGCGACGCAUAACGAGAAAAAGAAUCAUGUCGGCGGUCUGUUACAAUUUGACCCGUUCCCAAUACGGUGUAGUGCCUGGGAGUGUCCACAGCGUCCGAGACCACGUCGCAGGGUCGUGUUCUGUACUGAUACGACGUUUCGUAUGUUGAUCGAUCGGCCAUUGAAGACUGGGCUUUUUCAGCCGAGUAAGUCCACUGAGGACCUGGAAUAUGUGGUGGGGGUCGCUCACUCACGCCCCAAGCGGGUGAGCUGCUCAAAGGCUCGGUUCUGAACUCAUCUUUCUCGGCUAUCCCGGUCGAGUCGCUGGACCUGCCAAGGUUCUGAGCUGAGGCGGUCUCGGAAAAUUUUUCCUUGUACACCGUCUUAAACGUAUUGUUCGCAGCAAACUGUAGAAUGUCAUCUUUUUUUAUCAUUGGUUUUGGCCCUGCUUGCUGCGGCAAAUACUGGAACAAAGUCGGUGUAGACUUAUGAAGGGUCGGGGACGCCAGGCUGUCCAUUCUGGUGAUUUUGACUGAAUUCCGCUCACUGAAAGCUUCAGCAUACGUCGUCUCGAAUUCAUUUCGCACCUCUUCUGCCGUUUUCUUGAUCCUCCGUGUCUCAAUAUGUGGCGGGAAAUCUUCCAGGCUCAAUGACGUGGGGAAGCUCUCCAGGUGUUCUGGUACGACUGUUGUAUAAAAUUUGGGAACAUCUUCCUGGCCGUGGGAUACCGCACGUUUCGGUUCAUAGUGUACUUUAUAUGUUGUCAGAUAGUGCGCCUGCACCGGAUCUGAAGCGCGUGCACCCGCCGCUUGAUUUUCCGGCGGAGACAUUGCUGCUAAACCUCGGGC
rnacentral:lncRNA from 1 species